CUAUUACGUCGAAGUCGAAGAUGUCGGGCAAGGCGGCGCCGGGUAUGUCAGUUCGCUUGUAGAGCGCGUCGAGUAGUACGACGGUUCGAUUCCGCCCAGGUCCACCAGAAGCACAUUGCACGGGUAGUGCGCUUCUGAUGGGCCUGACCUGGUUUCGACAGGGGGAGAUAGGGUCGUGAGGCAACCCGUCAGAGAAGACGUUAAAACUAAAUCGAAGUAAAUGCUAACGACGAAAAGUUCGCAUUGGCCGCCUAACAGCCGCCUUGGGUUGUAACUGACCUCGAAACAGAAAAGUUACUGACAAGGGCUCCUUCGGGGGCCCUUGUUCA
rnacentral:tmRNA from 1 species